rnacentral:lncRNA from 1 species
AUCCUGGGAACAUAGGUGUGUGCUAGCAUGGCUCUAGUUUUUAACUAGAUUUUAAUGGUUUGGAGGCAGGGUCUUGCUCUGUAGCUCUGGCUUCUUAAAACUCAGUACGUCUCUGGAAUCCUGGGAUUCCAAGUACGUGCUUCCAUGCCUAGCACUUAUUAAUUUUUUGAGGAGUUUCUAUAGUGUUUUAUUUAAUGGUUAUAUCAUCUUACAUUCCCAUUAACAAUAGAUAAAGCUCCUAAUUUCUUCACUGUUUCCACAACUAUAAUUUUCUGGUUGCCUCUUAGGCCAAUAGUAGCCGUCCUAGUGGUAUGACAAAGUCUCUCAUCCUGGUCUUGGUUCAUGAUUUCCUAAUGGUUAAUGACUUCAUGUAGCUUUUCAGUUGGGAUCUUCUUUUGCCUACUUCUUUACCUUCUUGGAAGAAUUAUCUGUUUUAAGUGCUUUGAAUGAUUUUGAAAAAUAAUUGCUUGGUUUUGGUUUUUGACUCUAGGCAUUCCCUGAAUAUUAAUUGCUUGUUUUCUACCUGUGUAUUCAAGGAGCUGAAUUAACUGGCACUAUGCAUUUGGCCACGGUGUUUCCAGUGAAGUUGAAUCCACCAGAUUAUAAUCUUGUAGCCUGCAAAGCUAAAAACAUUUACACACUCAGAUGCUUUAUAUAGAAAAGUUGGCUGACGCCCAACUUAACUUAGGAAGUGAACACAUGAAACAUUGAUUUUUAAAAUUAGAACAUUCUUUUAAAUAUAUUCUUUUAAAUGUUGAACACAAAUGUCAGUUGACUCUAAAUGGCUUAAGCAUUCAGAAAAUAAAAUAUAUCUUAUAUUAAAGGGUUUUUAGAGUAGUAUAUUUAUUUCAUUUUUUUUUAAAUGAAGACUAGACAUGGCCCUUAGCAAAUGUAUUUGAAUGUUAACAUUUAGAAGAUAUAGGAUUAAUUUCUGUUAUCUUAUAUUGGUUGGACUUUAAGACUCCUGUGCUAGAAAAACCUUUACAAACAAUGAUAGAUGUGGUUAGAGAUGUUAGAAAUAAAUGUCCAGGAAAAAAAAUGGACCCGAGGUAGAUGGAAUUCCUGUCUAAUUUUUAAAAAGUUUAAUUUACAUUCAUAUAAUGUAUGUGUGUGUACAUACAUGUAUGCAGAGUCGGAGAUUCUCCCGACACUGUGUGUUCCUGGAAUCGAACUCGGUGUUGACCGUGGUAGCAGCCACCUUUCUAGCUCAGCCAUCUCACCAGCCCAUACAUAGCCCAUACAUAUUUUGACUCUGAACUUAUUUAGGCGUUAAGUCAAACUGUCUUUACAAUUCCCAUCAUUUUUUAUUGUUAUUAAAGAUAUUUUUUAGCCUUCGGCCUUUUAGUGUGCUAACGUUAGUAUGAUAGCUAUGAGACACUUUUUUUUUCCAUGAUUUUGCUUUGCUGAAUUUUUUCCCCAUCUGUUAUAAUAAAAACAAACUAAGAGUAUGGGAGAAUGAAGUUUCCCAUGACUAUUUAUAAAGGGCCAAGGGGCUCCGGUUCUGCACACAAGCUCCCUAUCUGAGGAAUGCCUGUCUUGGAAAAGGCUUUUUAAGGACUGGCUGGUCCUGUGGUUCCUGGCCUUUCAUAGACUGAAUCCACAAUGCUGUGUAUGAAUUUAAAGAUUCGGGUAUGGAUUUCCAAACAUCUGGAAACCGUGGCAAUGAAUUUUGAUUUUUGGGAAAUGAUUCAAGUAUUCUAGAGGCAAGAUUUUGAAAUAUUAUUGAUCGUGAACUUGAGUUCGCAUAAUUGGGCUUCAUCAUAUGGUUGUGUGGAAUGAUUUUGAUUUUUUUGUGUAAGCUGACUUUAAGAAUUAAAUGCCAAAGUACUAUGAUCUAUUAGGAUAGUGAUGGCACCGUUGUAGAAAACCUCAGUUCUCAGUCUGAUCAACUUGAAACCUUAAUACUGGGCUUCUUUUUGGUGUUGCUGUGAUAGAAUGUUUUGACAAAAUCAACUUGAGGAGAAAAGGGUAUAUAGUCAGGUCCAUGGUUCCUGGGUACAGCCCUCGUGGUGGGAAAGUCAAGACAAGAGGAGCUUAUGUUUACACCUGGAGUGCAGGGAGUGAUGGGGCAUCCUUAGCUCAUGCUGUCUUUUUUAUACAGUGCAGGAUGUUGGUCUGUGGAAUGGCUAGUCAUCCAGGUGAUGCUACAGUUUAUCAAGCAGACAGUUGAGCUUAACUGUCACAAACACCAAGCAAUUGACUGCAUUUUGGUGUAUUUGCUAAAAUCACACCAUUUCCGUUCAUGACCUAAUACCGUAGCAUCUGUAAACACAUGAUCUAUUUCUAAGGAAGUAGUUAAGGCACUGAACCUUAGGUGAGGAAUUUAUGGCCAGGCCUGGAAGAUUUCUUUCUGUCUACUCUGUUGUCAGGGUAUUAUUUCUGCAAAAACAGAAGUCUGAAAGCACUAGAUGAGCCCAGGGGGACCAAUGGUAGCCAGCCAGCGUUUUAACAGCUGUUGCAGUUGUGUGUCAGUCAGUUCAAAUAUUCUCGAAUAACAGGAAAUUGAGCUGCUAAUGGGAAAAUGACCGAGACCCUUGCAUUUUGGACUCUCUGGGAUGCGCUACGCCUUCUAGACCAAUCAAAUCAGGAAUCAUCAGGGUAGUUAUGGGAACCAUUGAGUUGACUUUCACACUUGUGGAAAAGGAAGAGGGUCAGAACAAAGUGGAGCAACAGAGAAGCAACCUGGUCACCCCCCACACAUACACACACACCCCUUGUUCUUUUAUACUCGAUUGCCACUUGCUGUAUACACAGUUGUAAAAGAAUAGAGGCAACAGUGGAAAACCCAUCCUGGUAUGAAAGAGGUUGCUAUAUAAGAGGAUGGUAUCUGUGUUUCCUGUCCUUUGGCCCACUAUGUUCCUCUGCUGACUGUUACUCCAUUGAUGGCUGUAACAUUUCUGGACAAAGUGUCCUACCAGGCUAGGAAGUGCCUUCUUCUUAGCUCUUGUUGCUAUGUUUGGAUCUGUCAUUCUACAUCCCUAGAGAACAGUUAGAUACUCUGAUUUGUUUUUGCUGUGCUUCAAGAGGGUCAAGCUGAAAGUGGCAGAGAAGAAUGUCUGUGGGUGAAAAGAGACGAGUUUAAAGUGUGUAUUGUGUGAUCAUAUGAUGCAGUAUGUCUCUGUGUGAAUGUUUAUGCGUGGUGGAUGAGUGUGGAUGCACACGCACAUGUGGGUAUGUGGACACAUGGAUUUAUAUGGAGACCAGAGGUUGGCUGUCAGUGUAGUCUUCUAUUGCACUCCUUAGUUUUGGGCCAUGGAGCCCUAGGGAUCUGUAUGUCUCCAGUGGAAGCAUUAGGUUACAGGCCACCCACGAGGCCCAGCUUGGUUUGUGGGAUUGCAUGGAUGUUUAGAAUGGCUUGUACACCAAGGUGAAGUCCGUCAGUGGUAGUAAUGGUUUGGGUACCUAGAAUGACAAACAGUGCCACAGAGACCAAGCGGUAAACAUUUCAGAACUUCUGAUCUGUUGGUCUUCACCAUGUCCUUCAAGAGAUUUCUUAUCACGCAGCAGUUUGUAAAAGUUCUGGCCAUUUCACUCUAAUCAUUGAAGGCAUCUGAGAUGCUUUAUGCAUAGAAGCAGAGGGUCAAACCUUCUGUUGACUAUAGCAUUACUCAUCAUAAAGUGUGAUUUGGGUGGUGGGUAAGGAACUUGUCCCAAGUUAGUCACCACAUAGUUGCUGAGCCAUUGUGGCUUUAGGACAUUUUCUGGGAAUGAUGCAUAGCCAUGCAGGCUCUCCCAGAUCCUCUCAGGGACAUGUAAGGAGGACAAAGGUGACGUUGCUUGGGAGUCCAGAACAGAGGCCUUUAACUUAGUUUUAGAGACCAAACAGUUUAACCCUGUCAAGGAAAGGCUGUUUGUAGUGGCAUAUACAUUUAAAGUCCCAAAAUUUAAAGAUACAAAUCAUGUUUAUUUUCAAGAUGAAAUGGCAACUUAUUUGCAAUUUGGGAUAACAACUCUAUUCAUAUGCAGUUUUUUUAAUAUUUGUAUACUAGUUGUGUAUAUUAGUUUCUUUCCUCUAGCCCUUUGUAAUAAGCUAAUAUUUUUAAACUAUCUCAGAAACCAACUUCAGGGAGAUUGGAAGGGAGAGGUGUCUUUUAUUCUGCUUAGGAUAGCAGAGUAAUGCACUAUUUGCUAAAUGCAAAUGUCAGGGUGACCACAUUUGUACUUGGGAUGAAGAUU